UGGGGAAUAUUGGGCAAUGGGCGAAAGCCUGACCCAGCGACGCCGCGUGGGCGAUGAAGGCCUUCGGGUUGUAAAGCCCUGUCAUGUGGAAAGAACAGUUCUGCGGUUAAUACCCGCGGAAUUUGACGGUACCACAGGAGGAAGCACCGGCUAACUCCGUGCCAGCAGCCGCGGUAAUACGGAGGGUGCAAGCGUUGUUCGGCAUUAUUUGGCGUAAAGGGCGCGUAGGCGUUUGUGAAAGUCAGAUGUGAAAUACUUCGGCCCAACUGAAGAACUGCAUCUGAAACUUCAGAACUCGAGUACAGGAGAGGGAAACGGAAUGCCCGGUGUAGAGGUGAAAUUCGUAGAUAUCGGGAGGAACACCAGUGGCGAAGGCGGUUUCCUGGCCUGAUACUGACGCUGAGGCGCGAAAGCGUGGGGAGCAAACA
rnacentral:rRNA from 1 species